AUGUUCAUUCAGGUGCAGGAUCUGCAGCGAGGCAGUGAUGGCAAAUGGAGGUGGCUGAAGGUAUAUAAGACCUACAAUGGAACCAACCCUGAUGCUGCUAGCCAGGCCAUUGACUAUGUUCAGAGACAGCUGCACUGUUGUGGAAUUCACAACCAUUCAGACUGGGAAAGUACAGACUGGUUCAAAGAAACCAAAAACCAGAGCAUCCCACUUAGUUGUUGCAGAGAGACAGCCAGCAGCUGUAUCAGCAGUCUGGCCCACCCCUCUGAUCUCUAUGCUGAGGGGUGUGAGGCUUUAGUUGUGAAGAAGCUACAAGAAAUCAUGAUGCAUGUUAUCUGGGCAGCGUUGGCAUUUGCAGCUAUUCAGCUGCUGGGCAUGCUGUGUGCCUGCAUCGUGUUGUGCAGAAGUAGAGAUCCUGCUUAUGAGCUCCUCAUCACCGGUGGAACCUAUGCAUAGUAGAAAACUCAAGCCUGAGCUUUUUAGUCUUGUCCUGACUUGGAAGGUGAAUUGAGCAGGUCCACUGCUAUUGGCCUCCUGAGUUCAUUUAGUUAAAGCACAUGUACACAGGUGUUGGACAGAGCAGCUUGACUCUUCAUUUGUCUGCCUUCUUACCUACCCACCGAUGACUUUUUUCCCCUUUGUUCUAGCUGACUCUCCAUAUCCGUAACUGUUUUGAGUAUGGCGGUAAAUGUUCUAGCCUCAGAACUGUUUGUGAGUUGUGUAGUGUGGUAGAAUUAGAGGUUGCCGUGGCCCUGCUUCUGUCACCUCCAAGCAUAAUGGGCCUGCUGCUGUAGUAUCACCAGGUCUUUCAGUCUUCACAGUGGAGAGGAGAACUCUUGGUAAAGGUUUUUGCCGGGGGGAGGCAGUCAGCUGUCUGGUUAAAGUUAAUACCAGAUGGUGCCCCUCAUCAGUGUCCUUUUUAAAAAUAUAUAUUAUAGUCGAGUAAGAUAGCAAUUGUACAAAAUGGCUGAGAUAGAUUUUAGAAUCAUACCUCGUGUAUCUUGGUUCAUCUUCAAAAUCAGACUGAUCUUUGAAACUAGCGGUUUUUAAUCAAAGCUGGCUUUAUAGGAGGAGUAUAAUGCAUGCACUACUGUUUUAAAACAAUUAGUGUGAGUGCGUGCGUGUGUAUUUUUGUAUGAUUGACCCAUUCAUCAUAAGUCUAAACUUGUUAGAAAUAAUGUACCCAUGUAGACUAGCAAAAUAGUAUGUAGAUUUGAUCUCAGUUGUAAAUAGAAAAAUCUAAUUCAAUAAACUCUGUAUCACCCCCUCAAAAAAAAAAAAAA